GCGCACCAGUCGAGAAACCUCCGCAAUGCGCGAAAGCGCGACGGGGCCACCCCGAGUGCCGCCCGCUGAGGGCGGCUUUUCCCCGGUGUAGACAGCCGGGGGAAUAAGGGGAGAGCAAGUCUGGUGUCAGCCGCCGCGGUAAUACCAGCUCCCCGAGUGGUGGGGACGAUUAUUGGGCCUAAAGCGUCCGUAGCCGGCCCGGCAGGUCUCCCGUUAAAUCCAGCGAUCUAAUCGCUGGACUGCGGGAGAUACUGUCGGGCUAGGGGGCGGGAGAGGCCGGCGGUAUUCCCGGGGUAGGGGUGAAAUCCUAUAAUCCCGGGAGGACCACCAGUGGCGAAGGCUGCCGGCUGGAACGCGCCCGACGGUGAGGGACGAAAGCCGGGGGAGCGAACUGGAUUAGAUACCCGCGUAGU
rnacentral:rRNA from 1 species